CCUACGGGCGGCUGCAGUAAGGAAUAUUGGUCAAUGGAGGAAACUCUGAACCAGCCAUCCCGCGUGAAGGAUGAAGGGGCUCUGCCUUGUAAACUUCUUUUGUCUGGGGCGAAAAAGCUCGAUUUAUCGAGAACUGACGGUACCAGAAGAAUAAGCACCGGCUAACUCCGUGCCAGCAGCCGCGGUAAUACGGAGGGUGCAGGCGUUAGGCGGAAUCAGUGGGUUUAGGGGGUUCGGUGGGGGAGUGGUGGAAGGCUGUGGCUUAACCAUGGAAUUGCCAUUGAUACUGCAGAGCUUGAAUGAGGUUGAGGUUGGCGGAAUGUGACAUGUAGCGGUGAAAUGCUUAGAUAUGUCAUGGAACACCGAUUGCGAAGGCAGCUGACUGGACCUAUAUUGACGCUGAGGCACGAAAGCGUGGGGAGCGAACAGGAUUAGAUACCCGUGUAGUC
rnacentral:rRNA from 1 species